CGAUCCAGAUCGCACGCCACGCCCCCGCCUCCUAGCUCCCCUCAUCAGACAUCACCCCCGCAAGGCCGCAACGGCCCAGCGCCGACCAAACAGGGUCCUCGUCACAGAACACGCGCCCCACCCGUCUCGUCGCGCCGAUCCAGCCCGGCGCUCGGCCCCGCGGCGUGUGCAAUGGCCCUCGACACCGCCGACGCCGACGCGCCGCGCUUGCGCCUCGAUGCCAGCGCCGCCGUGCACCCGCUCCUCUCCGACGACGGCUCCACGGCCGCGGGGGAGACAGCGGAGCAGCUGGACGCCAGGUACGCGCCCUACGCGCGCCGGGACGCGUACGGAACCAUGGGCCGCGGCCCGCUGCCCGCGGCGCAGGCGGUGCGGCUGGCGCUGGCCGCCGCCGUGCUCCUCCCGCUCCGCUUCGUCGCGGGGAUGCUCGUGCUCCUGCUCUACUACUUGGUGUGCCGCGCGUGCACGCUGUUCGUGGAUGCAGAUGGGGGGCGGCCGAGGUUGGCGGGGUGGAGGAGGAAGGCCGUGCUGCGAUCGGGGUGCGCGCUCUCACGGGCGAUGCUCUUCGUCUUCGGGUUCUACUGGAUCCGCGAGACCCGCAGGAGGUCCCCUAAUGCUAAGGGUUUAAAUCAGGACCAAUUUGAAGAAUCACAAAGGCCAGGGGCAAUUGUAUCUAAUCAUGUCUCUUAUGUGGAUAUUCUUUAUCACAUGUCAGCAUCCUUUCCAAGUUUUGUUGCUAAGGAGUCAGUGUCCAGGUUGCCACUUAUUGGUCUCAUAAGCAAUUGUCUUGGAUGCAUUUUUGUUCAACGAGAAUCAAAGUCUUCAGAAGCUAAAGGUGUCUCAGGUGCUGUAGCUGAAAGGAUCCAAGAGGUUUGUCAAGAUAAGAAUACCCCAAUGAUGUUGUUGUUUCCCGAGGGAACUACUACAAAUGGGGAUUACCUUCUUCCAUUUAAGACUGGAGCCUUUCUUGCAGGUGCACCAGUGCAGCCAGUCAUUUUGAAAUACCCUUACAGGAGAUUUAGUCCAGCAUGGGAUUCAAUGGAUGGAGCACGUCAUGUGUUAUUGCUGCUCUGUCAAUUUAUAAAUCACAUGGAGGUGGUCCGGUUGCCUGUAUACUAUCCUUCUCAACUAGAAAAGGAAGAUCCGAAGCUCUACGCAAAUAAUGUCAGAAAACUAAUAGCAAUGGAGGUAGGCUAAACCCAAAACUGAGUCAAACAACCAUGCAAAGAUCAAACAACCUCUUCGUAAUAUAUGUAUCCACCGAGGGUUGGAGAGUAUGAUUGGCCUCCCACCUGUAAAGGCCCCAAGAGCUCGAGAAGGCUCGAUUCUAAUCCCUAUGGAUGGCUCUGCUGUCGGAAAAAAUAUUGCCAAGUAUGGGGACGAAGGGGCAAUUUAGUUCUUUCUAAUAUUGGGCUGGCAGAGAAGCGCGUGUACCAUGCAGCACUGACUGGAAGUAGUCUACCUGGCGCUAGACAUGAGAAAGAUGAUUGAAAGACGUUGCGUCGCUUUUUCUGUAAUAGACAGACGAGGAGCACUUAAAAAUGUAACUGUGUGCGUGUUUUUUUAUAUCUGUAAUGUGGCACUUUCUUUGUUUGAGGAGGUUGUUGAGUACCCUUCUCAUACUACAUUGUACAAAAACGAUGUCCAUUAUAGUUAGAUGAGGUUCGUGCUCUCGUACGCGGUCCUUCAGAUUUCGAUUU